GCCUCGUUGGCCUAGGGGUAUGAUUCCUGCUUAGGGUGCAGGAGGUCCCGGGUUCAAAUCCCGGACGAGUCCUAGCG